rfam:Haemonchus contortus, ISE/inbred ISE, WGS project CAVP01000000 data, contig: Hcontortus_contig_pathogens_Hcontortus_scaffold_6999
GCAUCGGUGGUUCAGUGGUAAAAUGCUCGCCUGCCACGCGGGCGCCCGGGUUCGGUUCCCGGCCGAUGCA